GGUAGGACUACCCGCUGAACUUAAGCAUAUCAU
rnacentral:rRNA from 11 species